GAUGAACGCUGGCGGCGUGCCUAAUACAUGCAAGUCGAACGCUGGAAAUCUAGCUUGCUAGAUUGAAGGAGUGGCGAACGGGUGAGUAAUACAUAAGCAACCUACCCACGAAGACUGGGAUAAUCUCUGGAAGCGGGGACUAAUACCGGAUAGGUAAUCGGAAGGCAUCUUCUGAUUAUUAAAGGUUAAAAACACUGGUGGAUGGGCUUAUGGCGCAUUAGUUAGUUGGUGAGGUAACGGCCCACCAAGACGAUGAUGCGUAGCCGGCCUGAGAGGGUGAACGGCCACAUUGGGACUGAGACACGGCCCAGACUCCUACGGGAGGCAGCAGUAGGGAAUUUUCGGCAAUGGGGGAAACCCUGACCGAGCAACGCCGCGUGAGUGAUGACGGCCUUCGGGUUGUAAAGCUCUGUUGUAAGGGAAGAACGGUAGAUAGAGAAUAUCUAAAUGACGGUACCUUACCAGAAAGCCACGGCUAACUACGUG
rnacentral:rRNA from 1 species